rnacentral:rRNA from 1 species
AACGCACAUUGCGCCUCCUGGUAUUCCGGGAGGCACGCCCGUUUGAGCGUCAGCUUAAACCCCCUCCGGCCGAGUAUUACGGCUCGGGCCUUUGGCGUGGGGAGGUGACCGCGGCGCUUCGGCGCCGGCCAGGUUUCCCCCGCUUAAAUACGGAGAAAGCUAGCGGGCGGAGCCCCUCUGAAUGGACCGACUUGUAGAAAUCUUUUUGCCGUCGUUGAACGUUCCGGAGGGCCGCCAGCCUCAAACCUCAAAAGGACCUAGCGUCCUUAAGACUUUUUGACCUCAAAUCGGGCGAGGAUACCCGCUGAACUUAA